UGGUGGUGGAGGAUGAGAAUAAGCUGCUGAAUAGCCGGCCUGGGGAGCUGGAGAUGGAUAUGUUUGUGGCGAAUAAGGUCCAGUAUGAUUGCGACGAAUAUGGAGCCGCAGGAGCUGGAUAUGGGGCCGCUGUUGGUGGUGGAGCAGCGUACGGAUAAGGCUGUGGAGCCGUGGAGUAUAGCUGCGCUGCAUAUGGAGACGAGACCAUCGGAGCUACUGGUUUUGGCUGGAAAGAAGAUCCCAAUGUAGAAUGACCCGCAGUUCUCCGGCAUAUCUGCGAAAAGAAAGAUCAAAUGUUCCACGUUGAAUCAUCAUAGCCCGUGGUGAGAGCUUUGUCCAGCAGUAUCCUAGAAAAAAAUUUACGAGGGCCGCGUCAGGCAUGACGUCCACGAGGAAACGCAAGCUACAAAAAUCGCACAACGCACCUUCCAGAGCCAAUGAAGUCAUCGAAUGUAAGCGUGUUGCUGUUCCACACCUCCGCGUUUAUCUCACGGAGCCCCUCGAUGAGAGGCAGCACAAACUUCUGGUUGAAGGACGGAUUUCUUCCUCCAUCUGCGGAAAAGAAAGUCUCUUAGCUCGUGAUCAAGUAAAAAGCUAGCUACAGUGAUCAUGAGCUUAUGAUCAAGAAAAUGGAAGAAAACAUUUUUCUAGCAAACAAGUGAUCAAGCA